rnacentral:rRNA from 1 species
GACGAACGCUGGCGGCGUGCUUAACACAUGCAAGUCGAACGGAAAGGCCCCUUUGGGGGUACUCGAGUGGCGCACGGGUGAGUAACACGUGAGUAACCUGCCCUUGACUUCGGGAUAACUUCAGGAAACUGGGGCUAAUACCGGAUAGGAAUCCUUGCUGCAUGGUGGGGGUUGGAAAGCUUCGGCGGUUUUGGAUGGACUGGCGGCUUAUCAGCUUGUUGGUGGGGUAGUGGCUUACCAAGGCUUUGACGGGUAGCCGGCCUGAGAGGGCGACCGGCCACAUUGGGACUGAGAGACGGCCCAGACUCCGACGGGAGGCAGCAGUGGGGAAUAUUGCACAAUGGGCGGAGGCCGGAUGCAGCAACGCCGCGUGCGGGAUGACGGCCUUCGGGUUGUAAACCGCUUUCAGCAGGGGCGAAGCUUGUGGUGACGGUACCUGCAGAAGAAGCACCGGCUAACUACGUG